UCCAUAGCUCAGUCUGGAUAGAGCACUUGACUACGAAUCAAGGUGUCGGGGGUUCGAAUCCCUCUGGGG
rnacentral:tRNA from 1 species